CGUAUGGAUAAUAUAUGAUCAUAGGGGCGAAGCAACCUCGACAAAAUGAGAGGACACUAAGUCCAGCUAACCGAGCUUUUAGCUAUACCAGAUCGGUAACCGAGAUCAUUGAACGAGAUACAAAAACAUAUACCUUACAGAGAUCCUAAAUUCUGAGAUACCAAUAUCGAACUAUGAAUAAACCAUACCUAGCAUCACCACGAUGAUAACAUGACUUACUCUCCGGCGUUCGCACCUAGAUCCCGAGCUACAAAUACCGAGAUAUAACGCGGGACCUACUUAAUAGAGUAACACCAAGAUUCCGAGAUACAAAAUACCGGGAUAUAACACGGACCUACUUAACAGGGGAAAAAGAACCACGAGACAUGGUCUAUAUAAGUCACGCUAUGGGGAAACCCUAAGGUACUUCUUUCUAUUCACUUAAUAUUACUCUUUCUCUUCUUCUUCUUUCCCCUAGUACAAAGUUUGACUUGAGCGUCGGAGCGAACGCCCGGAGACCCCCUCCGGCGUUCUUUCUGACCUCUGUUUAUUGGUGUUUGCAGGCUUUAGCGGAUCGGAUCUAUUUGGUGAUUUAUCACUUGGCGCCGUCUGUGGGAAAUCGAUUUGAUUCCCUUUUUUGGUUACUGUCAAGAGAAGCGGAUCAUCGACUGAGAAACACAUCUACGCGGCUAAGAGAUGUACUGAAAUGGAAGGAAUGAUUCAAGCUCGUUUCUGGAAAAUGAUAAACAUGAUGCAUCAGAGAUCUUCUUCGAUCCUCAUAUGGGUUUAUCCCAAAAUAACAGAGAAUCAUCCCCUGGUGUUGGCGGACAAUGGGUUUCACAGGAAAUAAAACAGAUGGAAAGCUUCUACAAGACCACUGGAAAUGCCUAGCUGAUGUGGAUCUCUCGAUCUAUUAUGCUAAGGAGAGGGAAAGACACAGAUUCGAAAUUCUUUCAAUGGGUAUACUGGAAUAGAGGAGAUCCGGCAAUGGGUUUUUCUUAAGAUGAAAAACAUUUAAAUGCUCUCUGAUUUCAACUUAAAAAUGGAAUCAGCUAAGUCUUCUUUUCUAAAACUUUCUCUCUAUGAACUGUUGAAAUACAUCUGUAUCUAAGAGAUAUGAGAUUUUACAUAGGAGAGCACAACGGGAAAAAUGUUUUCUCGCUGGCAGCAUCUUCGUCGAUAAUGAAUCGAAGAGCAAGGAUAUUCCACCAACAGAAGUGCACGAGGAGAUGAAAAUUUUCAACGUGGAGAUGGUGAACAUAAACGAGGAUGAGUUAGAUCCAACUCAUCCCAUAGAGCAAGAAACUAAAUCAUUAAAUGGAGAAGAGCUGGGUAACAUUGAAUGCGGUGGAUUCAGCAUGUAAACUGUUUGUUAAAAUGCCAGAAAAAUGUUGCUUCUCAGAGUAGGAUUCUUUUGAGGUUUUGCUCAACCUGGACAGAAUAUUUUCGAAACAAGUCGCAGCUCUUGAACUCCAGGCUGAAGAAUUCCGAGCUUUACUUUUGAACUCAGAGGUGUAAAUGAAUUUGACAGCACUGGGUUUGUGAUUCCUGGGUCGAACCAGACCCAUCAUGGAGAGAGGACAGGUUUUUAACGAACGCAAGGAAAGUGUUUGAUAAUAUGCCUCAAAGAAAUAAAGUUUCUUCGACAUCAAUGGUUACGGGUCUGGUUCAAAAUGGAAAGCGCAAAAGAUAAGUGUUUAAUCUCUUAUUUCGCAAUUCAUUUUCAGUGGAAGCGGUAGAUUUAAUGGUUUACACUACCACCAUUUGGCAUACACUUUGAAGUUAUCUUGAUCAUUACUAGAUUGAGCCUUUAAGAUAUAUACAUAUCCAAUAUUUGAAAACAGUGAUCAUUAGAGCACUAUAAUGCUCUCAUCUUUAAUCGGUGAACGUAAAUCUCUGUGUUUUUAUAGUCGCAUUCACCCAAUUGCUCUAAUUUUGCAUUGAAGACUCCCACAAGACUCUAUCUAGCUGUAUACAAGAUAAUAACUAUCUGCUUAUAUUUCUUUUUGGCAGUUUUGUUUAACUUUCAAAGCUGCACAACAUAUGACUAAGCUGCUGAGUAUUGAGCAACCUCAGGUGUUACAAUAGUCAUAAACCCACAACAGAGGAACACGAGACAGUAGGGAGUUUCAUUGAGAGAGGAAGAGAUGAAUUCUUAAAGGCAGAAAUCAGCAGAAGAGAUGAAGGCCCUGUUUUCUCGCGGGUGACAUCUUCGUCGGUAGUAAAUCGAAGCAAGGAUGUCCCACCGAUAUAAUCGCGUGCGAAAAUGGAAAUUUCUAAAGUUGGGAUUCAAUGCAUAAACGACUAUGACUGGUUAGUCUCAGAGUGAUGCCUAAGAAUGAAACCGGAAAAAGUGCCUAAAGAGCGGAAAGCGCAACUUGUUUUCUUUUUAUCCGUUUUACACGGUACAUAAUUAUCGAGGCUCUUAAUGUGACGAAGUGGUCGAGUUUCCAUUCUUUAUUUCGGAAGUCUUAAUUUCAAGCACUUAUGGAAAGUCUUAUUCCUAUUUAAAGCUGUAGUAGUCGUCAGUGGUGGUAGACUUAGUUUUUUAUUUAAAAAAUUAUUUGACUUUAAUAAUAUUAUAAAUUUGUACACAUUAAAAAUAAAUUUUUCGAUGUAAUUUGUAAAGGAGUAUAAAAAUUAUUAUAGUUGUAUUUA